rnacentral:miRNA from 1 species
GGGCUGGAGAGAUGGCUCAG